GACGAACGCUGGCGGCGUGCUUAACACAUGCAAGUCGAACGGAAAGGCCCUGCUUUUGUGGGGUGCUCGAGUGGCGAACGGGUGAGUAACACGUGAGUAACCUGCCCUUGACUUUGGGAUAACUUCAGGAAACUGGGGCUAAUACCGGAUAGGAGCUCCUGCUGCAUGGUGGGGGUUGGAAAGUUUCGGCGGUUGGGGAUGGACUCGCGGCUUAUCAGCUUGUUGGUGGGGUAGUGGCUUACCAAGGCUUUGACGGGUAGCCGGCCUGAGAGGGUGACCGGCCACAUUGGGACUGAGAUACGGCCCAGACUCCUACGGGAGGCAGGAGUGGGGAAUAUUGCACAAUGGGCGGAAGCCUGAUGCAGCAACGCCGCGUGCGAGAUGACGGCCUUCGGGUUGUAAACCGCUUUCGCGUGUGACGAAGCGUGAGUGACGGUAAUGGGUAAAGAAGCACCGGCAAACUACGG
rnacentral:rRNA from 1 species